AAACAAAACGGACUACACAGACAAACACGGUUUCAGCCUCAUGAUUACACUGAUGUUAACCAUGUCCGGGUACUCUGCACAGCCGCCUCCAUUCAGUAUCUACAACUGCAUGUUUAAGAAGAAAUGGACUGGCAGUUUAAUCCAUCUAUAUAUGCUAAGCACACUGGACCUGCAGGGCGGUGCUAGUAGGCUUCAUCCUAGUCUGUGAAAGAACGCUCACAGCACCUUAGAGGGGAAAUAACUAUAUGGUGGAGCUCUGGUUGGCUGAGGACCAAUAACAAUGUAUCUGUUCAUGUUUAUCUGUUCAA